AACGAACGCUGGCGGCAGGCCUAACACAUGCAAGUCGAACGCCCCGCAAGGGGAGUGGCGCACGGGUGAGUAACGCGUGGGAAUAUGCCCUUCGGUUCGGAAUAACACAGGGAAACUUGUGCUAAUACCGGAUACGAUCUACGGAUGAAAGAUUUAUCGCCGAGGGAGUAGCCCGCGUAGGAUUAGCUAGUUGGUGAGGUAAUGGCUCACCAAGGCGACGAGCCUUAGCUGGUCUGAGAGGAUGAUCAGCCACACUGGGACCGAGACACGGCCCAGACUCCUACGGGAGGCAGCAGUGGGGAAUAUUGGACAAUGGGCGAAAGCCUGAUCCAGCCAUGCCGCGUGAGUGAUGAAGGCCUUAGGGUUGUAAAGCUCUUUCGCCAGGGAAGAUAAUGACGGUACCUGGAAAAGAAGCCUCGGCUAACUCCGUGCCAGCCGCCGCCGUAA
rnacentral:rRNA from 1 species